rnacentral:rRNA from 1 species
GACGAACGCUGGCGGCGUGCCUAACACAUGCAAGUCGAACGGAAAGGCCCUGCUUUUGUGGGGUGCUCGAGUGGCGAACGGGUGAGUAACACGUGAGUAACCUGCCCUUGACUUUGGGAUAACUUCAGGAAACUGGGGCUAAUACCGGAUAGGAGCUCCUGCUGCAUGGUGGGGGUUGGAAAGUUUCGGCGGUUGGGGAUGGACUCGCGGCUUAUCAGCUUGUUGGUGGGGUAGUGGCUUACCAAGGCUUUGACGGGUAGCCGGCCUGAGAGGGUGACCGGCCACAUUGGGACUGAGAUACGGCCCAGACUCCUACGGGAGGCAGCAGUGGGGAAUAUUGCACAAUGGGCGGAAGCCUGAUGCAGCAACGCCGCGUGCGGGAUGACGGCCUUCGGGUUGUAAACCGCUUUCGCCUGUGACGAAGCGUGAGUGACGGUAAUGGGUAGAGAAGCACCGGCUAACUACGUG